GCCACUGCAGAUUAGGCAACUCGGCCAGGGUGGGCGGGCCAUGUGUCACCACCCUGCCAAACGGUCAGCGGGCCUUGGAACCCAGCAGGCGGACCUGAAGAGGCGAGUGACCCCAGGACUCACCUGCUGAGGGGAGGAGGCUGAACUCGAACCCAGCGUCUUCCGGGACAUGGCAGCUGUGAGGCCCUGCCUGGGCCGAGUCCUCCCAGGAUCGUCCAUACUAUUUCUGUGUGACAUGCAGGAGAAGUUCCGCCAUAUCAUGUACUUCCCCCAGAUUGUCUCUGUGGCCGCCCGAAUGCUCAAGGUGGCCCAGCUGCUGGAGGUGCCAGCCAUGCUGACAGAGCAGUACCCACAAGGCCUGGGCCCCACAGUGCCUGAGCUGGGGGCCGAGGGCCUGCAGCCACUGCCCAAGACCUGCUUCAGCAUGGUGCCAGUGGUGCAGCAGGAGCUGGACGCACGGCCCCAGCUGCGCUCUGUACUCCUCUGUGGCAUAGAGACACAGGCCUGCAUCCUGGUUGGCCCUGACCUCUCUCUGCUCCUAGCACACGGCCCUGGACCUCCUGGACCGGGGCCUGCAGGUCCAUGUGGUGGUGGACGCCUGCACCUCCCGCAGCCAGGUGGACCGGCUGGUGGCACUGGCCCGGCUGAGGCAGAGUGGCGCCUUCCUCUCCACCAGUGAAGGGCUCAUUCUCCAGCUAGUGGGUGACGCCUCCCACCCCCAGUUCAAAGAGAUUCAGAAGAUCAUCAAGGAGCCUGUUCCAGACAGCGGACUGCUUGGCCUCUUCCAAGGCCAGAACCCUCUCUUCCACUGAACUCCCACCUUGCCUUGAGGGGAUAGCUCCUUCCUGUCACCUGGACCUUGGUAGAAGCGCUUUCCCCCCAUCCUUGAAUCCCAAGAGUGGUGCAGUCCACCGGGAGUACUGCCCCUUGAGUGGGAAGGCAGGUGCUGCCUUGCCAUUGGGCGGCAGUUCCAGGAAAUGCAAAUGAGCUUCUGGCAGCUGGAUGGCUAUUGGUGGAGCUGCGCUGGAGGUGGGGCUCUACCCCCAGCCACUUCAAGGAGCGGGAAAGGGAGGGGGCGGAGUGUCACAGACUGUGUGGGACCCGGACUCGCAGAAUAAACAUUGAGGUGGCUGUGGACCGAA